rnacentral:tRNA from 1 species
GCCCAGGUGGUGAAAUCGGUAGACACAAGGGACUUAAAAUCCCUCGGCUUAACUAAGCUAUGCGGGUUCAAAUCCCGCCCUGGGCA